rnacentral:rRNA from 1 species
UACGAAGGGUGCAAACGUUGCUCGGAAUCAUUGGGCGUAAAGCGCACGUAGGCGGCUUCGCAAGUCGGAUGUGAAAUCCCUCGGCUCAACCGAGGACGUGCAUCCGAAACUGCGGAGCUUGAGUACUGAAGAGGAUCGCGGAAUUCCCGGUGUAGAGGUGAAAUUCGUAGAUAUCGGGAGGAACACCAGUGGCGAAGGCGGCGAUCUGGGCAGAUACUGACGCUGAGGUGCGAAAGCGUGGGGAGCAAACAGGAUUAGAAACCCCCGUAGUCC